rnacentral:rRNA from 1 species
AUUGAACGCUGGCGGCAGGCCUAACACAUGCAAGUCGAGCGGAAACGAGUUGUCUGAACCUUCGGGGAACGAUAGCGGCGUCGAGCGGCGGACGGGUGAGUAAUGCCUAGGAAAUUGCCCUGAUGUGGGGGAUAACCAUUGGAAACGAUGGCUAAUACCGCAUGAUGCCUACGGGCCAAAGAGGGGGACCUUCGGGCCUCUCGCGUCAGGAUAUGCCUAGGUGGGAUUAGCUAGUUGGUGAGGUAAGGGCUCACCAAGGCGACGAUCCCUAGCUGGUCUGAGAGGAUGAUCAGCCACACUGGAACUGAGACACGGUCCAGACUCCUACGGGAGGCAGCAGUGGGGAAUAUUGCACAAUGGGCGCAAGCCUGAUGCAGCCAUGCCGCGUGUGUGAAGAAGGCCUUCGGGUUGUAAAGCACUUUCAGUCGUGAGGAAGGUAGUGUAGUUAAUAGCUGCAUUAUUUGACGUUAGCGACAGAAGAAGCACCGGCUAACUCCGUGCCAGCAGCCGCGGUAAUACGGAGGGUGCGAGCGUUAAUCGGAACUACUGGGCGUAAAGCGCAUGCAGGUGGUUUGUUAAGUCAGAUGUGAAAGCCCGGGGCUCAACCUCGGAAUUGCAUUUGAAACUGGCAGACUAGAGUACUGUAGAGGGGGGUAGAAUUUCAGGUGUAGCGGUGAAAUGCGUAGAGAUCUGAAGGAAUACCGGUGGCGAAACGGCCCCCUGGACAGAUACUGACACUCAGAUGCGAAAGCGUGGGGAGCAAACAGG